CUUCCCUAUCGACAAAGUGUUCAUUGAUGGAUGAAUUUUUUGAAAAGGGGGUGAAAAUUUUGCUCGAAUCACCCUAAAAUGAGAGUGUGUGCGUGGCUCGCUGUAUCGCGAUAGAGUUCGGCGUGUGUCGAAUGAAUGUUCAAAAAGGUCGUAGUAGGCUAAAAACCUGUCUUUCUGUUUUCGCUCGGUCGCUGUACAUUUUCAUACGGGAAUAGUUAGUGAAUUGUGAAUUGCGUCAGUUCGUGGACUGUUUAUUCGAUUGUGGAAUAGUGUUUGCCAAGUUGUUCCAGUUCUAGUUCUAAAAGGAUAUUCCUGUGACGGCACUGGUAAGUUGUUCCGCCAGCGUGAUAACCUGUUGGAGCAGACUUCGGCUGAAUACGACGAUGCAGAGGCAGGACAAGCUGUUUCAAGACAUUUAAAAAGCGCCGCGUGGGGACAUAUGGCCACAGUUAACAGUUAACCUCAUAUCUAGAGGUUUUUGUGUACACAAAUUCAGGAAGCAGGAAGGAUUCAAGUGCCGUAGUGUGAAAUACUCCGUCAACAGAGAAAAACGCGUGUUUUCUUACAACUGCACCCACGCGUCCCUUUGGCAUACUGCUUCAAAGGUAGGCUACCCUGUACAAUCAAUGCCAUGGCGCCUAACGCAAUCGGUUGAACGUUCUACAUCCUCUUCCUCUUGCAGCUGACUUUCAUAGUUCUUCUUGGUCGCCCUCGGAUAGAGCGUAUGAAUUGACGGCCACAUCUUUUUCGCAUCAUUUGAAAGGAACAAAUUAUUGGACAUGCUCGUGAUUAUGCAGUUCUAUGAUGCACCUGCCAAUGGAAGUGAAAGACAAGCCAACCUUAGUAUUGGUUGUUUUUGCUGCUGAUCGGUUCUAAAUCGGUUUGUAUCGCAGCUAACGAUUCUCGAAGAAGUGUCAGUGUCCUAAUCUGUCUUAUUUUCAUUGCUCAACAAACAGGAUAGUGGAAACCGCUCUUGUUGACACUUUACAUAGGCGCUGGAUUGGAUUUUUCUUCGCUCUGCUCACAGUGCGUGACCUUGGUUUGUUGUGGCAAUCUAUCAUUCAAUUAACAGUCCCUUCAGCAAAACAAGUUCGGUCCUCGGUACACAUCUGAUUUCCAUAAGAAAUACGCCUGAAAUUCGAAGGAGACAAUGUUCUAUCUGCAGCUAGCACCUCUACAAACAGUGACCGAUAAAGUUUGUCGUUGAUCCUCCGUCCAGGAUAACAUACUCCGCCAAAGGUGAAGGUCGGUCGAAUCAUACACUAACUCGAGAGCGAUUCCUGACUCGAUACGAGAAUAUUAUUGGUUCCAGUAAUACAAGGUUCCAACCUUGUUUUUCGCCGUUUGUUAUACGUAAGUAUGCCUAAAUAAAACGUUUGUUAAUACUUAACUGACAUACGUAUUUUUAUCUCUUCCAUAUCGGUCUUAGAUUCCAUUUGCAGAUACAAAAUGGAGUGAAAGAUGCAAAAAAAAACGCGUGUUAAUGCGGUCAAAAUGAAAUCGAGAUCGCACCCGAACCCAAGUCAAGGACACGAUGUUAGUUUCUUUCGAAACACGCUUGCAAUUUCAUGGAAGAUUUUUGACUGUAUCUAUUUCUUUGAUACACGAUGUGAAUCUAUUGGAAACUUAUACUCGUACGGAGGGAAAUGUCCUCGUUUAUGUAUUGUUUAUGCUGCACCGAUCGAAGCUAACAGCGUGGUUAUGAAAAGGGUUGCAAAUAGUGAGCGGAAUCAUGUGUACCAGGAUUUCAAACCACUGCUUAAGAUGGUGCAGUGUACGAGCAUUGAAAAUUGUACGCUCUCUAGAUGGAAGCUGGAUUUCUUUGGGUAUGGUCAUUCUAAACUGUCUAAACUAUGUAGAAAAUGGGAAUAGAAAAAAUGGGUUGAAGGAUAAUUUAUAGAUUCACCGGGAAUAAAAUAAAAAAUUGUAUUAUUUUUGUUAAAACAAAAAAUGUUUUCAUUGCACCGUUGGAAAUCAACGGUGCGGAAAGAACGAUUGAAAAUGAACAUUACAGCGUUAAAAUGAACCUUACGAAAACGCGCUCAUGAAAUAAUGAAUCUCACGCACACACUCUCAAAAAACGGCUUCACAAGAUCUGCUGUGAAGCUUUUGUGAAGCCGCUUGUGAAGCCGUGAAUUUUACUCGAAAUUCACUCUCAGGCGAGCAGUUUGUCGAUAGGGUUGCUUU